AGGAACUCAGUGCAGUGAUGUCAGUGUUAUAAAAAUGUAUUUUGGUCUCAAGCUGGGGUAAAAACUUUGCUCCUAUUUCAGACAUCUGCAUUUUCCUACAGACUGCAUUUGCAGCUUGAUGUGAAAGGAACAAUAUUUGACCAAAGCAGAACAACCCAUCAUUUUGCCUUAAGAUCAGGAUGGAGAACACCUUAUUCAGUCUGCGGUGCUUAAUGUUGUUGAACACUCUCCUCUCUGUUGUCC